rnacentral:rRNA from 1 species
CGGGAGCUUGCUCCCUUAGGUCAGCGGCGGACGGGUGAGUAACACGUGGGUAACCUGCCUGUAAGACUGGGAUAACUCCGGGAAACCGGGGCUAAUACCGGAUGCUUGAUUGAACCGCAUGGUUCAAUCAUAAAAGGUGGCUUUCAGCUACCACUUACAGAUGGACCCGCGGCGCAUUAGCUAGUUGGUGAGGUAACGGCUCACCAAGGCGACGAUGCGUAGCCGACCUGAGAGGGUGAUCGGCCACACUGGGACUGAGACACGGCCCAGACUCCUACGGGAGGCAGCAGUAGGGAAUCUUCCGCAAUGGACGAAAGUCUGACGGAGCAACGCCGCGUGAGUGAUGAAGGUUUCCGGAUCGUAAAACUCUGUUGUUAGGGAAGAACAAGUACCGUUCGAAUAGGGCGGCACCUUGACGGUACCUAACCAGAAAGCCACGGGCUUAACUACGUGCCAGCAGCCCGGCGGGUAAUACGGUAGGUGGCAAGCGUUGGUCCGGAAUUAUUGGGGCGUAAAGCGCGCGCAGGCGGUUUCUUAAGUCUGAUGUG